UGCUGCCGGGACGCGGAGGCGGGGCCGCCGCCCCCACCUGCUGAUUUCACUGAGUUGGGAUUAAAUCAGUGUAUUCCUCCCACUGCAUAAUUUAGGACUGCUUUAAAACGAUGUAAUUACAAACCUCAAUGGCAGAUUGUGAAUUGCAUUCACUGUCAUAACUGCAGCAAACCAGACAUACAUAGGAGGCACAGCAAAAGACCCAAG
rnacentral:lncRNA from 1 species